UACGUAGGUGGCAAGCGUUGUCCGGAUUUAUUGGGUUUAAAGGGUGCGUAGGCGGCUUUGUAAGUCAGUGGUGAGAUACUCCAGCUCAACUGGAGAGGUGCCAUUGAUACUGCAGAGCUAGAGUACUGAUGAGGUAGGCGGAAUGGACGGUGUAGCGGUGAAAUGCUUAGAUAUCGUCCAGAACACCGAUAGCGAAGGCAGCUUACUAAAGAGUAACUGACGCUGAGGCACGAAAGUGUGGGGAUCAAACAGG
rnacentral:rRNA from 1 species